rnacentral:rRNA from 1 species
AGCAGCCGCGGUAAUUCCAGCUCCAAUAGCGUAUAUUAAAGUUGUUGCAGUUAAAAAGCUCGUAGUUGAAUUUCGGGAUUAGUACGUUGGUCGUGCCUUAGGUACCGUACUGGUGUUACUGGUUCCUACCUUCUGACGAACCAUCAUGUCAUUAAUUUGGUGUGGCGGGGAAUCAGGACUGUUACUUUGAAAAAAUUAGAGUGUUUAAAGCAGGCUCGCGCUUGAAUACAUUAGCAUGGAAUAAUGAAAUAGGACGUUGACCCUAUUUUGUUGGUUUCUAGGAUUGACGUAAUGAUUAAUAGGGAUAGUUGGGGGCAUUAGUAUUCAAUUGUCAGAGGUGAAAUUCUUGGAUUUAUUGAAGACUAACUACUGCGAAAGCAUUUGCCAAGGAUGUUUUCAUUAAUCAAGAACGAAAGUUAGGGGAUCGAAGACGAUCAGAUACCGUCGUAGUCUUAACCAUAAACUAUGCCGACUAGGGAUCGAAGGAUGUUAAUUUUUUAAUGACUCA